rnacentral:rRNA from 1 species
CCUACGGGAGGCUGCAGUGGGGGAUAUUGCACAAUGGGGGAAACCCUGAUGCAGCGACGCCGCGUGGGUGAAGAAGCGCCUCGGCGCGUAAAGCCCUGUCAGCAGGGGAGAAAAUGACGGUCCCUGAAGCAGAAGCCCCGGCUAACUAAGUGCCAGCAGCCGCGGUAAUACGUAGGGGGCAAGCGUUAUCCGGAUUUACUGGGUGUAAAGGGGGCGCAGACGGCGAUGCAAGCCAGGAGUGAAAGCCCGGGGCCCAACCCCGGGACUGCUCUUGGAACUGCGUGGCGAGAGUGCAGGAGGGGCAGGCGGAAUGCGUGGUGUAGCGGUGAAAUGCGUAGAUAUCAGGCAGAACACCGAUGGCGAAGGCAGCCUGCUGGCCUGCAACUGACGUUGAGGCACGAAAGCGUGGGGAGCGAACAGGAUUAGAUACCCUGGUAGUC